rnacentral:rRNA from 1 species
CACCAGACUCCUACGGGAGGCAGCAGUGGGGAAUAUUGCACAAUGGGGGAAACCCUGAUGCAGCGACGCCGCGUGAGUGAGGAAGUCUUUCGGUAUGUAAAGCUCUAUCAGCAGGGAAGAAAAUGACGGUACCUGACUAAGAAGCCCCGGCUAACUACGUGCCAGCAGCCGCGGUAAUACGUAGGGGGCAAGCGUUAUCCGGAUUUACUGGGUGUAAAGGGAGCGUAGGCGGCUGUGUAAGCCAGAAGUGAAAGCUCGGGGCUCAACUCCGGGACUGCUUUUGGAACUACAUGGCUUGAAUGCAGGAGAGGCAAGUGGAAUUCCUAGUGUAGCGGUGAAAUGCGUAGAUAUUAGGAGGAACACCAGUGGCGAAGGCGGCUUGCUGGACUGUAAAUGACGCUGAGGCUCGAAAGCGUGGGGAGCAAACAGGAUUAGAUACCCUAGUAGC